GAACAUUCUAUUCAGGUGUAUCCUGACCUACAGCCACAGAACUUCAGAGGCUCAACGUGGGGUUUUCCUUGGUAACUUAGAAGGCUUGGGAUAAAAGUAAGGAUGUUUUUCCAGAGUGCCUCCCUGUUGUGUCAUCGUGCGGACUAGAAGGAAACCCUGGUGCAGAUUGUGGAGUCUCCAGACUGCAGACUUCAUUUCCUGUCAUACAUUAUGCAUGGAGUAUUUCCAGAGGUUUAACCAAAGAGAGAGGAACCACUCUGAAUAUGGUGUCACCAUCCUAUCUAUCGGCUGUAGUCCUGGGCUGAAUAAAGCUGAAAAAGGAGAAAGCCUGGGAACCAAUGUUCACAUCUCUGCUUCCUGCCUGCAGAUGAUGCCGUGUGACCAGCUACUUCAUCUCCUGCUGCCAUGCCUUCCCACCUUAGACUGUGACCACCUUACACCACAAGCCAAGAUAAAGCUCCCCUCCCUUAAGUUGCUUCUUGUCAGGUAUUUAAUCAACAGCAGUGAGAAAACUAACUGAUGCAAUGGUUCGACACACCAACCUAAAUAACCUUUGACUCGGGAUGGGCCUUGAUUCAACUGUAAUCCCUGGGGCAUUUUGCAGCUGUAUGAGCCAGGCUUGCAGCUUCAUCUCUGCAUCUCGGAGCAUAAGGACUCUCCAUCGUGCAUAGACAACUUUUAUGUACAAGUGUCUGCCCACUUCCUAGUCACAGAAUGUUAGGUCUCAGGUAGUACAUAUAUACAACGUGAGCUCGGGCUGAGCUAUAGAAAGAUUUCUGGCAUUCAGAUAAGAACAAAUAUUCUUUAGGAACUUGUGAAAUGGGCUUUCUCUCCACCAAAAGGAGUCAAUGUUUCUUUGCCACACACACACACACACACACACACACACACACACACUAGCAUCCUGGCCCUUCUCGCCUUUCCUAGACUCCAGGCCUGCUCAGGUCACAGUUUCUCUUCCCCCAGCCACUAUCCUUAAGUGAUUUUUAAUGAUUUUUCCACUCUGCCCUUGCUAGGCCACUUCUCUCACAGAUAGGCCUACCUAUGUCCAGUCUGUUUCUUUUUCUCUCUGCUCUGGACUCUUCUGGAUACCUCGUAUCCACAAGUCUCUCUCUUACCUUCACCCUUAAUGGAGCAGCCAUUCAGGCAGGCAAGUGGUUUACUAUCUCCCUGGCAUACAAAGACUAAAUAAAAGCUCUUUCCUUCAGUCUGAACGGUUGGCUUCCAGGGAGAGCCCGUGUCUCUACUAAGCUGGUGACAGGUGACACUUAAAGGCAAUCUAUCUUCCUCUCUUAUAUGUUAAAGGAUCAUGGAAGUAACGGUAGUUUAACAUACUCAUAAUAUACUCGUGUUUCUAAGUUAUUUACUAAUAAAUGUGUUCUAUACUUGU
ensembl:processed_transcript